GUUUGUAAAUACCAUUGCUAUGAAUGUGUUUCUAUUUCGCAAGAUUUUAAGGUUCAAAAUGGGAGGUAUUGAUGGCCAAAUUUCCAUCUCCUAUCUUCUAUUCGUGGUUGACCCGUUAGGGUUGGGGAAGGCUGAUAUACAAACUAUUCUUUGUUAGCCUUAUAUUUUGGGAUGAAAGGUCGCAUGCAAAUGACGGACUGUCAAAGGCUCAAUGAUUGGCUUGUGGGAUGGAGAAAUAAAACCUCUCUGUUAAGGGAAGGUUUCGAUUGAUUAGAUCAUCCAUUUAUAACUACUUAUCUUAUUGGUUUAGGUUUGUUUCUAUUAUCAAUCGUGUUCUCAAAAAUAAUACAUAGCUCACUUUAUGAUUCCUAAGGAGAAAAUUGGCUCAAGGUUGUCCUCUAUGUCCUCCCUCAACCUAAUUUGCGAAAUGAAGGCGUGUGAAAAAUUCUUAUUUCUUCUAACCUUUUGAGCGGUGUUCCUAUCUGUUGCUCCUAAUGGGUUUUGCCUUUAAGAGGACUCUCCUCUUUCUUGGAAGAAUUAAAGCAUGUGGCAUUAAAAAUGAAAAGCAAGAAUUCUUAUAUUGGGUAUACUUUGAUCCAUGGCCUGGUGGUAGUUAACUAUUUGAGGUUCUAAGACCAAAUUGCAGUUCCAGAUUGGACUUAAUUACACCUUUUUUUUGUUGGAAUCUUUUAUUCAUGAUUAUAGCUGGAGAAUUUGUGAUUCUCUGGUUGUUUUAACUUUUAACCAUUGAAUAUUAUCAUGCUAUGAUGAAGUUGACUAUUAAUGCCAGUCAUGACUAUUCUCUGGGAUUUAGAUGAUUGUUUUUGCAAUUCUCUUGCUAGAUAUGUAAUUUUUGAAAAAUACCCUAAAGUCAAAUGGUCCGAUUAUAUUAAUUUUAAGAGUUGUUUUAUUAUGCAUUAUCUAUUUGUUGGAUGGCUUAUAUGGAGGGGUUAAAAUUGAAAACAAUCAUGUGGCUGAAGGGUUGGUAAUUGUCUCUUUCUGCAAAAUUUAUGAUGACUCCCUAUAGAGCCGCUCACACCAUUUUUUAAACUUGUUUUUUCUACUUGUUGUUGUUUAGGAAUUUAUUGCGUUAUGUUAAUUUUUUUUUCUUUAAACCCACCUUAAGUCCUUUAAGCAACAACCUAUUCAAGACACAAAACGACUAAAAUAUCACACUUUCUCAUCACCUCUGUUUCUUGUCUAUACUAUAUUGCAUGAAAGGAAUGAAAGAAUAUUCAAUAAAAUGGAGAAGGUUAAGCUUCUUGUUGCUUAUAAAUUGUUGAGGUGAAAAUUUAAAGAUUCUUGGUCCAUUGUGGGUAGGAAUCUAUUUAAUCAAUGGAAAUAUAGGUGCAUUCAUCUGGAGGGUAAGCUUCAAGUUGGUUUUUGGUUGGGUCAUGCAAUUUUGUUUUCUAUUGGUUGAUUUUUUCUGCACAAUAGUCGUUUGGGAUAAUUUUUGGCACCUACUUUAUGCCAAGUUCUCUGAUUUCUUGUCCUGAGUUUUUUGUGUUCUCAUCCUCAUUUGUAUUCCUUUAGUAACGAGUUCUACAAAUAUUAUUAUUUUCUAGUUUUUGCCUUAUGAUGACUGUUGGUUAUGCGGUCUCCAGGCAAUAAGGAUGUUUGCUCAACCUAGCAGCAUAUUAGCUAUGCUUUCCAUAUAUUACUCUUGAUCUGCAUGUUGUGGAUGAGCCAUUAGCACCUUUUGUUCUAGAUUCUAAGUAUAAUCCUAUAAUUUUUAUAGUUCGUUUAGGUGAAAAGGUUGGAGUAGCUCUAGUGGAAGAUAAGAUUAGAGAAAGUCGCCUUAGAUGGUUUGGUCACAUAAAACGGCGGCCUUCCG